GGGUUUUUUGGGUUUUUUUUCCCUCAAGCUUAAAUUGGUUCCUGUAGAGUGUCUGCUGAGAGGGAAACCAGACUUCCAAGCAGCACUGCUGUAGGACUUGUUUGAAGCAUGAUCAUUUAAACCUCAUGAAAGGCAGAAUAGAUACUCCUGAUGAAUCAGUCCCAGCUUCCCAUUAAAGUCUGACUGGGAGGACUUUCUUUGUGUGGCUGCCAUCGUGGUCCUCAGCAGUUCCUUUGCUGAGGAGAUGCUGCUUGAGGCCAAGCCAAAUGUACUCCUGCUUUCCACAGGGCUGUCUCAAGACCAGACUGUGGCUGUGGCAGAUUGAAUGCACAUGGAAAAGUGAACUGCUGCCCCACAGACUUGGCUGCCUUCACUAUCCCAGCUCUGCCACCCACACAAUUCUCCGUGACCAAUAUUGCUGUUAAUACUUUCAUCCUCCUGUGGCUUGCUGAAGGCCCAUAUGCCAUGUUCUAGGAAUUCCAGAAAAAUGACCAACAGCAGUGCCUCCUCCAAAUUUAUGUCUUAACUCAGGGUUGCUGUCACUGCAAUAUUGCAUGUGAGUGACUCUGAGAGCCACAGAGCACACACUGGGAGAAACCCCAGCAGAAAACACGUGCAGCGAUGAGUAACAUCCAGAGAGUACCAAAAACUAGAUAAUGUAAAAUAAGGAACACUUUUCUGUGUGUUGUUCAAGAAAUAAGUGAUGUAGAUCAGGGGAAAGAAAGGAGAAGAAGAAAGUUGUAAAAUGCAGAGGUCUCUAAAGGCCAUGUGGAAAGAGGGUGCUGAAAUUCUAACAAAAGACAGGAACUGGGAUCUAAGACAAAGUUUUGUUGGAUACUACUGCAGGACCAGAACAAAACCCUGAUAAAAUAAUUAGAGUUUGGCCAGUCGGUGCAGCUCAGAAUGAAUGUGUAGAAAGCAGAUUAUCUUCUCACAUCCAGGAGAUGAUAGAGAAUCCAAAACAGUCCAGUUGCAGAAAUUUGAGGCCACGACACAGAACAUAUCACAUGUCAUGUUUGUCACAGCAUACACAAACCAGAACAGCGGUCACCCUCUGGAGGAAGCACAUGGUGGUUUGGAAGUGCCAGAAGAGAGACCAGUGCAUUGGCAGGCACGUGACAAGAGCACUUUUAGUUUAGGAAGGGUGACAGGAUCCCAAGUCAGCCAAGAUUUUGAGAUCUGUCUGCACCCUUGUUCAAAGCAAACAGGCAAAAACAAAAACUGAGAUUUUUUUUGUAUAAUAUCUGGAACAAGGUCAUAUAUGAAACAGAGGAAAUUCAAAAGAAAGAGAUAAAAAUAAAAGGACCUGAACACAGCCUUUACUUUCCCUCUUUGACCUUGAAAGAGAGCAUGUGUGCCAUUUCCCUGCUCUCAGUUAAGAAACUUCAAAUUGCAAGAGAUUUUAGAGAGUUCCCUCGCAGAAAAAGCUUUUGAUGUCCGCAGAGAGGCCUUGCCAUGGCUCAGCGUCCUGCCUUUGCUCAUUGCCUGCUGCCCUGUCCCAGCUGUGGGCUCACUCUCUGUUCAGCCCAUGCUCCAAGGCUUCCCUGUGGUGCCCAGCCAGCUGCACACAGCUCCACACCUCUGGAGGGACCAGGGGAUCUGCAGGGGUCCAUGGACACGAGCUCCAGAGCAUGGUGCAAUUGUUGUUCCAAUAGAAAAUGGAAAUUUUCUUGAUUUUAAACUGAACAGAGGUUUGCAACCCCAAGUGAUGUCAGUGAUGCUGGGACCAAUGAAAUUAAGAGGACAAGAAGAAUCAGAAAGUCAUCAAAUCCAGAGGGGGUUGGAGCACUGGAACAGAAGGAAUGGGGGCUCUAAGUGAGGUUUGGGCAUCUGGCAAAGAAACUCGUAAAAAAAUUGCUUUUUAGCCCCAGCUGUGGAUAUUUCAAGAUAUCACACAGGGAUGUGAGAUAUCUGAUAGCUGAAGAUCUUCCCUGUGUAUGGCAAAAAUGUACUGACUUGAGGAGUGAGAAACUACCUGUCUCAAGUUUAUGCAAAAAGUAUAAACCUGUCUAGACUCCAACCUGCAAUUUCUGGGACCCCUGUGAAGGACAAGACACAAAAACACAGUAAAAUGGAUUGAAUUUAUUAGAGUAGUCAUAGUCAUUAGACUACAACAUUAGUCCUUAGCAGUCCUAGAUGGAUUUUUUUCCAACAACAGUAUUGAUUCUGAGAAAAAUGUGAUUAAAUUGCCAUUUAGGGGUCAUUUAAGGAUUGGGAUAUAUAAUAGAUGGCUUACAUUGGCCCUAAAUAAACAGCAAACGUCAAGGAAAUUAUUAAGGCUUUUGCUUGUGCCAAAGAUUAUAAAAAAAUCUCUAAGGAGACCAUGUCAGUACAGUUCCUUGGAAUAAGUACAGAUAAGCUUAGGCUGGGGAGGGGGGGGAAAGAAAAGAGGUAUUUGGCUUAAUCUCAGACAGUAAGAAUAUACUUUCAAGACCUUGUUUAAUCAAAUCCAUUUUUGCUAUAUGCAGUGUAUUUAAAUGAGUGUCUGGCAGAUGGCAGCAGUUUAGUGAACAACUUCACAGUUUUCUGUGUAGCAUGGGGUAAAUUCUAAGUAUUUUUUCCUUCAAUCUGGCAGGUUGGUAAGAAAAAGAUGCUCAAAUAAUUACUUACCAAAAUACUAAAAAAAAGCCAACAAAACAACGUGAAUAUUUUGGUCAGCACUGAGCCACGGUGUCAGAACUAUUAAAAUACUCUGCACAGUCCCCAGGGAGUGCAGCAAAGAGGAAAACACAAGAGGCUGAGGCCCAGGAGCUUCUAUUUGAUGAAAGUUGUAUCAGCCUGGUGGGAAGCAGGGUGUGAGGGCUCAGGGUGUGAAGGUGCCACCACUCCAAAUGGCCCCUGGGGCUGGAGCACAAAGGUGCCCUUUGGAGGGGCUGUUUGGAGUGAAGCCAGGGGCACAGGGAGCUGCCCAGGGGUGCUGGGUGCUUGUGGCUCAUCUGUGUCUGCCAGCACUGGUGUGGAGAUGCAUGCAGAAGUGCUUGGUGCUGUAGGGCAUUCACCAGGAGCAGUCUGUGUAAGAGCAUUUAGGUUGUUUGCUGUGACACCUUGGUGACCCAAAUAUUGGUGUGAUUGGCAAGAAGCAGGUCAGCUGGCUGGGAUCUGGGCCCUUGGGAUGGCCCCAGGAAGGAGCAGGUGGAGGCCUCCCUGUGAGGGGUGCAGGGUAAGUGGGUGUUUCACCUGUGCAGGGGCAGAGAGCUCAGUGGUGAUGAGUAGAAGGGCAAUGAGGACAGAAAGGAAGAUUCAUAAGUGCACAUUCUUCUGGCAAACUUCUUGAGUGCACAUUCUUCUGGCAAGCUUCUUAAAUGCACAUUCUUUUAAGGUCAAAUUUUUAGUUACCUACAAGCUGUGUUGUUCCUGCAUCCAAAUUUCUUCUUUCAUUUCUUCUAGCGCUUUCACAUUCCUCUGCCCUUGCCUGGCUCUCCUUGUCCCAAUGGUCACAUCCUCUUCCUCCCUCACCUUCCAAAAUUUCUCCACCUCUCCAGGCUCUGGUCAUUUCCUCAAAGCCUUCAGCCUUGCACCAUGGUAGCAACUUUUAGUUCAAGGGUGACUUUGAACUGCUGCUAACCUCUUUUAAAUAGGGCAGACAAAAUGGAUAUAGAAUUUAGACCAAUUUUAUUUUCUUCCUGGGAAUAAAAACUGUAUGAUCACCCACAGUGAAAAAUCAAACAGCUUAAUGAUUUCUUUGGCUGAAUAACCUUGGAUCAUUUUUUAAUAUGACCAGUUGAUGCAUUGCACAUCCCUCUGUCCAAAUGGAAAACAACAUAGUCAGAGGCCAGAUUUGCAGCUGAUUUAAAUUGGAUGGUUUGAUUUUAUUCAGCUGAGUUUUGAACAAAAUCUAGCUCUCCAUCCUGUUUCCUGCUAUCAAAACAUUAUUCUCAAAAAAAUAUAUAGUUAUAUAAUUCUAUAUUUUCCAGUUAACAGACCAAAUUAGAUUACGGUGAGACCAUUCCAUUUUUAAUUCUAUCAUUUUUUAAUGAUAGAAUAAAAAUGUCAUUAAAAUAUAAUAUUGAAUUUUAAUAAUAACCCAAAUAUUAUUUCACAAUCAUAUUUAAACCACAUACAACUAAUUAAUGCAAAGCACAUCAGGAAAUUCAGUUCUCAUAUUUUUUAAUAAGAUCUCUGGGCAAACAAAGGAAUAUUAUUUUAUCAUAUUGAUAUAAAAUCUACACUCAUACUAAUUUGCUUAGUGAAGAUCUAGAGAAAGUGUU